AAUAGCUUACAUAUCAGUUAAAAGAAACAAUUGCACUAAAAAAGACAACUAGUCUCGUACAUCUAAGAGACACACCAUUAACUUUAUUCCAUUCAAAAAAAAAAAAACUCACGCCUAUUUGAAAGAGAAAAACCCUAGAUUUAUUUUUCCCUUUCAUCUCUCUCAUUUUAGUUCUUAUCAGGCCACAAAUCUUAGAGACAUGCCAGCCACGAUUGCAAGGGAACGUCGGAGAGAUCGACGUUCAAGAUCAUGUCAGAGUUCGCUCACGGCAACGGAACGUCGACGCUUUCCAAGGAUCUCUAGGUCGACUACGCCGGAGAGAUCGACCCAUGCGAUGGCUUGGUCUUCGACGAUCGACGGCUUCAACAGAGCAGGAAGCUGAGAUCUUCACCUCGAAAAUAUUCAAAUCUGCUAUGUGCGUUCUCUCUCUCUUGUUGAAUCUGCUAUCUACUAUGUGCGUUCUUUCUCCACAGACGAUGGAGGAUUUGUAUCAAUUCGGGCUCAAAAAUGGCCGGUUCCAGGGUUGCAGCUAGUUGGACGAAGAUCGACACUAUCAAUGGAACUAAGUUAUUUCUUGUAUUUUCUUUAAAACAAUUAUAUAUUCUUUUUGAAGUAUGUUACAGUAAUUUGUUUUAGGUUUUAUAUUUGUGUUUGUUCAUUUAGUUUCUUACUGUAAUUUUCUCAGUAUUUUUUUUUCUUUUGGUAUAAAAUCUUUUGUGUUUGAUUAGUUA